GAUGAAGAACGCAGCGAAAUGCGAUAAGUAAUGUGAAUUGCAGAAUUCAGUGAAUCAUCGAAUCUUUGAACGCACCUUGCGCUCUUUGGUAUUCCGAAGAGCAUGCCUGUUUGAGUGUCAUGAAAAUAUCAACCUUGACUUGGGUUUUGUGCUCUAGUCUCGGCUUGGAAUUGGGUGCUUGCCGCUUUUGCGAGCGGCUCACCUUAAAUGUAUUAGCUGGAUCUGUCUUUGAGACUUGGUUUGACUUGGCGUAAUAAGUAUUUCGCUAAGGACAUUCUUCGGAGUGGCCUCGUUUCUAGGACGCUUGUCCGCUUUCCAAUACAAGUUCCACCUCGUGGACAUGACUUUUUAUUAUCUGGCCUCAAAUCAGGUAGGACUACCCGCUGAACUUAAGCAUAUCAAUAAGCGGAGGA
rnacentral:misc_RNA from 1 species